AGAGUUGAUCCUGGCUCAGGAUGAACGCUAGCUACAGGCUUAGCACAUGCAAGUCGAGGGGUAGCAGGAUCUAGCAAUAGAUUGCUGACGACCGGCGCACGGGUGAGUAACACGUAUCCAACCUUCCGUUUACUCGGGGGUAGCCUUUCGAAAGAAAGAUUAAUACCCGAUAGUAUGUUUUUCCCGCAUGGGAGAACCAUUAAAGUUUUUCGGUAAUCGAUGGGGAUGCGUUCCAUUAGGCAGUUGGUGAGGUAACGGCUCACCAAACCUUCGAUGGAUAGGGGUUCUGAGAGGAAGGUCCCCCACAUUGGAACUGAGACACGGUCCAAACUCCUACGGGAGGCAGCAGUGAGGAAUAUUGGUCAAUGGACGAGAGUCUGAACCAGCCAAGUAGCCGUGAAGGAUGACUGCCCUAUGGGUUGUAAACUUCUUUUAUAUGGGAAUAAAGGAGCCUACGUGUAGGUUUUUGUAUGUACCAUACGAAUAAGGAUCGGCUAACUCCGUGCCAGCCGCCGC
rnacentral:rRNA from 1 species